AUGCAUGCCGGGAUAGCGUCGCUUCGCAGUUCGCACGACGCACGUUGUUGUUUGUUCCUUUGCAAAGUAUAAAUCGAGAAGUAUUUUGAAUGUAUAUUAAAUUUUACUGGACAUUAUGAUACAAGAUUGCCUGGAGAAGAUCGAGGAAAUUGUUUUAAAAGUGACUGGGAAUCUCAGUCAUCUCAGAGAUGGUGGAUUAACAAGUGCCAAGUGGUGAUGUUUAUAAGUCUAAGUCAUCUAAGUCUGUAAUGAACAAGCAGGAAAGUAUGGUGCCAAGGUCUUUCAUUUGAUGAAAAAUAUCAACUUGAUAUUAGUUCAGUGAAACAAGAAAAGAAGCCAUUUGACUUGGUUUAAGGAAAUAAGGAACAUGGAUUAAUUGAGGUAGUACUAGUGUGCGAGAAACUCAGUGGAUGAGUGGAAAGUCUCCUCUGUUAAUGGUUAGUUGGAUUCACAGUGUUGCAGAACUUAAUUUUCCAGGACAAAAAUACUCCAGGUGAUCUUAUAAAUAUGCUCAUAUUUGGGAGGACAUAUACCAACUUUACAAACAACUAGUCAGUAAUCAAAGAGGAACAUUGCUCAGGAGUUAAUUACUUUAGCUUACGGUAUGUGUUAAUAACAAUAAUUGAAGACAUGCAGUGAGUUUGCAUAGUUCUAGAUGCACUUGUCUUCUUUCAUAAAUAUUUUUAUUCAAUUACCUCUGGGUUCAUUAUACAGGGGCUUAAUUUCAAUAAUUUGAGUUGUUUCAGCUAGUUUCCUAAACUUGCCAAU
rnacentral:lncRNA from 1 species